GACGAACGCUGGCGGCGUGCUUAACACAUGCAAGUCGAACGAAGUGGCGAACGGGUGAGUAAUACGUGGGUAACCUGCCCUCCUUUUUGGGAUAAGCCUUGGAAACGGGGUCUAAUACCGAAUAAAGGGGGAUGGGCUCGGGGCCUAUCGGCUUGUUGGUGGGGUGAUGGCCUACCAAGGCGGUGACGGGUAGCCGGGCUGAGAGGGUGAACGGCGACAUUGGGACGGCUCUACGGCCCAGGCGCGUAAGGGGGGGAGAAGUGGGGGAUAUUGCAGAAUGGGUGAAAGACUGAUGCAGCGAGGGCGCGUGGGGGAUGAAGGCUUUAGAGUUGUAAACCUAUUUCGCUAUAGAACGGGUAGGUGGAGAAGAAGCGCCGGCUAACUACGUGCCAGCAGCCGCGGUAAUAC
rnacentral:rRNA from 1 species